rnacentral:rRNA from 1 species
UUGCCCGAUGAACCUGAAUAUCCGUUAUGGGAAAUUCAUCAUUAGAAUUGUAAUAUUUUAAAAUAUAUUAUAAUGAUAGUGUGCAUUUUUCCCAUAUAAGGACAUUGUAAUCUAUUAAUAUAUUUAAUUUAUCAUAAAAUAUGACUUAUAGUUUAUUUUUAUUAUUAUGCUUGCAUUUUAACAUAAAAUAAAUGUCAUUCAAUUUGAUAAAGUAUUGAUAGAUUUAUAUGAAAUACAAUGCGUUAAUUUUUCGAAAUUAUAUAAUGGCAUAAUUAUCAAUGAUUUUUAUGUUUAUUAUAUGCAU